CAUGGUUUUUUGAUUAUGAUUUAAGAUUUAACCUGCCCACUGAUUUAGUUAAAUGGCCGCGGUAUUUUGACCGUGCAAAGGUAGCAUAAUAAUUAGUUUUUUGAUUGAAAGCUGGAAUGAAUGGUUGGACGAGAAAAUUACUGUCUCUGAUUAAUUUUAAAGUAAAAUUUUAUUUUUGAGUUAAAAAGCUUAAAUGGUUUUAAAAGACGAGAAGACCCUAUAGAGUUUUAUGUGAUUAAUUUAAUUAUUGUGGAAGAAUUUAUUAUUUUUGUUUUUUAAUUGUAUUUUGUUGGGGUGACGGGAAAAUUGGUUUAACUUUUUUUUUAUUUUAACAAUGAUUUUUGAUUUUUUGAUCCGGUAUUAUCGAUUAUAAGAAUAAAUUACCUUAGGGAUAACAGCGUAAUCUUUUUGGAGAGUUCUUAUCGAUAGGGGGGAUUGCGACCUCGAUGUUGGAUUAAAGUUGAUUUUUGGUGUAGAAGCUUAAUAAUUGAGUCUGUUCGACUUUUAAAACUUUACAUGAUCUGAGU
rnacentral:rRNA from 1 species